AAAUCAAUAUUCUGGCCAGACGUUCUAAUACUUUGUUAGUUAUAUUAAAUAUGCUGGCAACCUGGCCAUCAAAAUCGUAAUUAUGGGACCCCAAACACUCACACGCACUUUGGUGUGUUUUUUUCCCAUUCAGGGCUUCUGUGCCUUUUUUUAUCUGGUGUGACAGGAGGGGAAUAUGUAGGUGGAGUUCUUUUUUUCCUUGGAAUAAAGGUUCAGUGAUUUGGUCAUGUUGCAUAAGAAAAGACUGCAUCGCCUCACCCCUGGGACUGUCGCCUUGUGCCUUUGAAUGACAUAUGACAUGAAAAGCUUUGUAUGACAUAAAAAGCUGCCUACUGAGCCAGACCAUUGGUCCAUCUAGCUCAGUAACUAAUAAUAAUAAUAAUAAUAAUAAUAAUUUUUUAUUUAUAUCCUGCCCUCCCCAGCCAGGCUCAGAGCGGCUAACAACAUUAAAAUGAUACAACAUUCUAAAAUCAGUUCAUUGUAAAAUCAGUUCAAAUCAGAUUAAUGGCAACCAUUGGGCUAGAGGAUUACCAAAGGAGGGGGUCAGAUUGUGCCUUGGCCAAAGGCCUGGUGGAACAGCUGUCUUGCAGGCCCUGCGGAAAGAUGUCAAGUCCCGCAGGGCCCUAGUCUCUUGUGACAGAGCGUUCCACCAGAUCGGGGCCACGGCCGAAAAGCCCUGGCUCUGGUUGAGGGCAGCCUAACUUCUCUGUGGCCCGGGACCUCCAAGAUGUUUUUGUUUGAAGACUGUAAGGUCCUCUGUGGGACAUACCAGGAGAGGCGGUCCCGUAGGUAUGAGGGUCCUAGGCCAUAUAGGGCUUUAAAGGUUAAAACCAGCACCUUAAACCUGAUCCUGUACUUCACCAGGAGCCAGUGCAGCUGGUAUAGCACUGCGUGAAUGUGAUCCUGCAGCAAGGACCCCUAAGGAGUCUCACCGCGGCAUUCUGCACCCGCUGGAGUUUCUGGGUCAGUCUCAAGGGCAGCCCCAGUAUUGUCUCCACAGAUUGGCAGCUUCUUUUCAGGGCUUCAGACAUGUGACAUUCCUACCUGGAGAUGUCAGAACUUGAACCUGGCACCUUCUGCAUGCAGAGCAGAAGCUCUAACACUGAACUGCAGCCCAGUAGACACUUUUGAACAGCAGCCCUCCUUGUAAUAUUUGGAAGGGAGUUCAGAUGAACCCUGUCUCGUGAUAAAACCACAUCAAGAGGAUAGGGUGAUGCAGGCUAACCUUACUGUUCACUUGCCAUACACACCACACAUUAAAAGCACAUUUCCCCCAAAGAAUCCUGGGAACUGUAGUUUGUGAAGGGUGCUGGGAAUUGUAGCUCUGUGGUGGGUGAACUACAAUUCGCUUUGUAUGUAUUGUGUGUACACAGCCUUGCUGAUUAGGUACAGUGGCUGGAAUCUGGCUAAUCAGGGACAAAGUCUGUAAGCAAAAGUAAAAUUUCUUAACCUGCAGCCAGGUUACCUUUCCCCGUCUGACGUGAGGACUAAAAUAAACAUUUGAACAUCUAGGAGGGAUGUUAAAACAAAAACAAAAAUCAGGUUACUAAAGGAAACAGUACAUAAAAUGCUGCUUCAUAUUGGCACAUCACAACCUUGUUUUUUUAAAAAAAGCAUUCUGUUUUCACCUGAAUUCUCCAAAUUACAAACACAGGCAAUGGGUUUCAUCGGAGGAGAGGUAUGAAUUUUGCAGUUCAUCUGUGAAAUGCUAGGAAUGUUGGAAGCUGCUUUAUACUGAGCCAGACCAUUGGUCCAUAGGACUUAGUAUUGUCUAAACUGACUGGCAGCAUAUCUGUGGGAUUUCAGGCAGGGUUUUCUUGCCAGCCUUAACUGGAGAUGCUAUGAAUCAGACCUGGAAACUUCUGUCUGGAAAGUGAAUAUGCUACCAACUCCCCCCCCCCCCCCAUAUUAGCACAUUUACAGCUAGAGUUUCCCCAAGGACAGUAGAGGGUUGUUUUGUCAGUUGCUUCAACACCUGUGCUCUUCAAUGAUUAGCCAUUCACAGUUCCUGAUAGCAAGAGUAUAGGAACAAACGUUUCGGAAAGCAAAAUAUGAAGAUCUUUUAAUAAAAGGCAGUACUGUACAGAAUCGAGUACAUUCACAGGUAGAGCAGAUUAGACUAUAUACUAUAUAUAGCCCGCUGUCCUUUCCUUCCCAGUUUCUCCCCCACUGUUCAUUGGUUUGUUUCCCAUCCACCAGUUUCCUAAAUCAAAAGCUGGAGGGAGUAACUGGAUAUCAGUGAAUGGCUUAGGAUGAUUUAUUUUUUAAUCCACAAUAUGUAGCCUUGUGAAUGAAAAUCGGGAUGAUCUCUGACUUCAACCUAGGUAUUUCUAACCAUCGCAAGAUUUGCUUUAUAUUUUUUAAUGUAACGAAGACAUGUCAUGAUACUGUCCACAGCAAUAGUUCUUGUUUUCUCCAUGAGCUGUGUUAAUUCUGUAAGUUUGUGUUUCCGAAACUUCUAAUUGUGGGGUACAGCGUUUUGUUUUUAAAACUGAAGGCCCACUUCAUUCUUGCAAAAGGUGUGUGUUUUCUUAAUUCAUCCAUGUGGACUCUCUUCCUUGGGGAGAGUUUAUAUUGUCCCUGGCAUCUCCCUUUCAAGGCCUCAAGACUGGGAUUAGUUCUUUCCAGAUAAUGGGGAUACUUCUGACCUUUGCCCCCAAGGCACCCCACUUUCACCCCUCUCAUAGCACAAAGUGUGCCCCAGGCGUACGGUUUGGGAAUCACUACUGUCUUUCGUCGGUGAAUGUUGAAAAGCUGUUUGCUCAGACGCCAGUUAUUUCCAUGGAAAAGUGAAGAUUCCUGAUUGUAUGACUUCCUUCAAAAUGAAGGGCAUUGCCUAGUUAUUAAGAGGAAAUAAAAUAUUUAUAAUAUCUUUUACAUGCUUUCCUGCUGAGCUUUCUUUCCCCCCGUUCCUUACCCUUCCUUUUAAACCUAAAACUCUGAAAUCGCUGUGAUUUCUCUUUUCGAUGUUGACGUGCAGAACAAUUGGGGGAUUAGAGGGACUAUUGCAGUUCCCCCAAAGGAACAUAAGAAGCUGCCUGAUGCAGAGAUGGACUAUCAAUCCAUCUUGCUUGGAACGGCCUAUGAGGAAUCUUCAGCCUGUGGACUGGAUGCAUCCUGCCAGACUUCUCCGCUUGACCUACAGGACAAUCCUCAGGCCAUAUCCCCCCUCUGGCCUGCUUUAAAACCCCUUGGUAUUUUUUAUUUUUUGCUGGAAUGUAUCCUUCCCCUGAAAUGACAUUUCUGGCUUUUUCUGGACUGUGGGAAGAGUAGAAAACUCUGGCUCUUGCGUGGCUGGAAUGUAGCGUUUAGUUCAAAGGUAUCACACAUAGCAUUAGGACGUCCCCAUUUCCAUCAGAGAAAUGUUGCAAGGUGUGAAAUAAAGGUCAAGGUAAAGGGACCCCUGACCAUUAGGUCCAGUCGCAGACGACUCUGGGGUUGCGGCGCUCAUCUCGCUUUAUUGGCCGAGGGAGCCAGAGCAGCGCAUGGAAACGCCGUUUACCUUCCCGCCAGAGCAGUAUCUAUUUAUCUACUUGCACUUUGACGUGCUUUUGAACUGCUAGGUUGGCAGGAGCAGGGACCGAGCAACAGGAGCUCACCCUGUCGUGGGGAUUCGAACCGCUGACCUUCUGAUCGGCAAGCCCUAGGCUCUGUGGUUUAGACCACAGCGCCACCCCUAGGGUGUGAAAUAGGACGUCCCUAUUUCCAUCAGACAAAUGUUAGAAGGUAUGCUUUUUCAGUUCCCAUAGUGCUGCCCACAAAAGAAAAUCCUACUGGAUCAGGCUCAAAAGCCGAUCGAGUCUAGUCCAUCCUGUUCUCCUCGUGGCCAAUCAGGUGCUGGUGGGAAUCCUCCAAGCAAGACACAAGCACAAGAGCAUCUCCCAAUGCUGUCAGCCACCAGUAGCCAUCUCCUCCAUGUCUUUAUUUUUCCUCUUAAAGCUAUCUAGGUUGGUGGCUACAACUUCAUGUACUACAUGAAGACGUACUUUCUUUUCUGUCCCAAAUCUUGCAGUGCCGUGGUACCUCAAUCUACAAACGCCUCAGGUUACAAACGCUUCAGGUUACAAAUUCCACUGACCUGAAAGAGUUACCUCGGGUUGAGAACUUUGCCCCAGGAUAAGAACGGAAAUCAUGCUCCGGCGGCACAGCGGCAGCCAGAGGUCCCAUUAGCGAAAGCACGCCUCUAGUUAAGAACAGUUUCAGGUUAAGAACGGACCUCCGGACCGAAUUAAGUUCAUAGCUAGAGAUACCACUGUAUUCAACUUCAUUGGCUGCCCAUGAGCUGUAAGUGUUACGAGAGAGGGAGAAAAAAUUAUCUCUAUCCACUCUCCAUGCUAUGCGUUGUGUUUUAAACUUUUUUUCAUGUGGCUUCUUGCUCGCAUUUUUCUCUGAAUUAAAAAAUCCCAAACACUGCAACUUUAUUUAUUGCAGAGUCGCUCCAUCCCCUUGAUCAUUUUGGUGGAUGUUUUCUGCACCUUCCCCAACUCUACAAUAUCCUUUUUGGAAGUGAUGCCACCAAAACUAUGCACAAAGUUCCAAAUGUGGUUGCACCAUAGAUUUGUAUCAUGGCAUUAUGACAUAUUCCGUCUUAUUUUCAAUGGCUUUCCUAAUGAUCCCUAGGAUGGAGUUUGCCUAUUUUUCCCCAGCUGCUCCACCUAGAGUUGACAUCUUCACUGAGCUAUCUACCACAACCCCAAAGUCUCAUUCCUGGUCAGUCACUGCCAGUUCAGACCCCAUGAACGUGUACGUGAAAUUAAGAUUUCGUUAUUGUCGUUAUUAUUUGCCUUGAGAUGCAGCGAUUUAUGCUUCUUUACGCUGAACUGCAUUUGCCACUUUCAAUCCACUCAGUUUGGAGAGGUCUUUCGGAGCUGAACAAUUUAGUAUCAUCGGCAAACAUGGCCACUUCAGGGAAAGAAGCCUCUGAGCUAUAAAAAGUCCGCUGCCCUGGGUCUUAAUUGAUUGGGAGCAAGUUUCCAGGAUUUCAGAUGAGUGUCCUUUCCCAACUUGAUCUGGAGAUGCUGUGCAUUGAGACUGGAACUUUCUGCAGAUAAAGCCCUUUCCCCAAGUUGUGACCCUUCCAGUUGUGACUGUGGAACCUGGUGUUGUAAACCAAAAUCUGCCCUUUUCCCCUUAUGGAGUAUCCAAGAGCCCAUAUAGAGUCCUUAUGUAGGCUCCCUAUUGGUAGGAGAAAAUAACAGAAGCCAACCAGAGAAUAUUGAGAAGCAAAGCAGCUAGUAAGCCUGAUCUUUAUUAGAACUGUUGCAACAGGGUGCUCCCCCCACACGCAGGAAAGGAGGAGGACCCAGAACAAAGGUAUGCCUGCCCUUAUAUAGAAAUUUUAAAUUCCCUGCCCUGGAGCUCCAGACCACCCCUCCAUACAUCAUACAUACAUCACAGAAGGGGUGUAACCCAAGACCACCACCCCCGAUACAUCAUACGUACAUCACAGAAAAGGUGGUCUACAGCAGAAAUCUGAGUGCAUUGUUUAUCUUGUCUGACAGGUUACCUGUUAAUGCUCACUUGAUUGGAUACCCUGGGGAGCCUGGCCAGUCUUUUGUAAUGAUAAAUACUUAGUUCCUGAGCCAGGUCACUGGCUCACCCUAUUCAAACACAGACAGACAUACCCUUAAGACAGGAUUUGUGAAGGAAAUGACAACGGGGAGGCUUUUCCAUUUUCCUUUGACCUUGCAGAGAAAACAUUUGGUCAGUUUAGGAAUCAAAAAUGGUUUCAGGUCAGUCUUCCUGUGCUGAUCUAUGUACAUGCUUGGUUGGUACGUUUAUGAACAUUUAUUAUAUAUCUAAGACUGCUGAUCUAUGUGUGUGCUUGGUUGGUACAUUUAUGAACAUUUAUAUAUCUAAGACUUUAAAAUUCUUAUCACACUGGUAAGAUGAAGGGUGAGCUAAAAAAUGACUUUAAGCUGUCUGUUCACAGUCUGCCUGUCCUCUAUUUAAACCUUUUGUGGGAUUGUCCAUAUAAGUCUUCCUAGUACAUUUCUGAGUGUUGGUUCAAAGUGUUGCUGCUGACCUUUAAAGCCGGCCUAAACGGCCUCAGCCUAGUAUACCUGAAGGAGAGUCUCCACCCCAUCAUUCUGCCCAGACACUGAGGUCUACUUCUGAGGGCCUUCUGCUGUCAGAAGUGAGAAGUGAGGUUACAAGGAACCAGGCAGAGGGUCUUCACGGCAGUGGCACCCACCCUGGGGAAGAUCCUUUCAUCAGAUGUCAAGGAGAUAAAGAACUAUACAACUUUUAGUUCUGAGAGCCAGUGUGGUGUAGUGGUUAAGAGCGGUAGGCUCCUAAUCUGGGGAACCGGGUUCGCGUCUCCGCUCCUCCACAUGCAGCUGCUGGGUGACCUUGGGCCAGUCACACUUCUGUGAAGUCUCUCAGCCCCACUCACCUCACAGAGUGUUUGUUGUGGGAGAGGAAGGGAAAGGAGAAUGUUAGCCGCUUUGAGACUCCUUAAAGGGAGUGAAAGGCGGGAUAUCAAAUCCAAACUCUUCUUCUUCUUCUUUUAGAAGACAUCUGAAGGCAGCCCUGUAUAGGGAAUUUUUUAAAUGUUGGAUGUUUUAUUAUGCUUUUAUAUUUGUUGGAAGUGGCUGGGGCAACUCUGUCAGAUGACCGGAGUACAAAUAAUAAAUACACUAUUAAUAUUAUUGUAAGUCCUCAGGCAAAGGCAAUAGCUCAAUAUUCAGGUGCAGAAUAAUGACUGGGGGCAGCAUUGAAAGAAAAGAAACACUUGUGGGAUGUGAAAUAACUCUCCCCCCCCACACAAACACUAGCGUGGAAAAAGACUCAAGGCAUUUAAAACAAAGAAGCACAGAUUUUAUUCUCAGGAUAUACAGUACUUUGUGUUUGUUUGUGUAGUGAAGAGUUUUUUCCCCCAGCACUGCUAGCUCUUUCAGUGAAGCCACCGUUUCAAAUGUGUCACAUAACUGAGCUGCCUCCGGACCCGACCCUCAAGUCCAGUGGAGCAGGGGCUGAAAGGAAGGUCAGUCAUUUUAAUAUGUUUUGCUCUUUGUGCUCCCUGAUGGACAGCCAAGGAUGGGGAGAAACAGGUGAGCAGUGCUCUCACUAUUUGUCAACCGUAGUUAUUUAUAUACAUUUUUUUUUUC